UACGUAGGGGGCUAGCGCUGUCCGGAUUUAUUGGGCGUAAAGAGCGUGUAGGCGGCCAUGUAGGUCCGGUGUGAAAACUCGAGGCUUAACCUCGAGAUGUCAUCGGAAACCAUUUGGCUAGAGUCCGGAAGAGGAGAGUGGAAUUCCUGGUGUAGCGGUGAAAUGCGCAGAUAUCAGGAGGAACACCGAUGGCGAAGGCAGGUCUCUGGGCAUUAACUGACGCUGAGGAGCGAAAGCAUGGGGAGCGAACAGG
rnacentral:rRNA from 1 species